AUUGAACGCUGGCGGAAUGCUUUACACAUGCAAGUCGAACGGUAGAGGGGGCAACCCCUCGAGAGUGGCGAACGGGUGAGUAAUAUAUCGGAACGUGCCCAGUCGUGGGGGAUAACGUAGCGAAAGUUACGAUAAUACCGCAUACGAUCUAAGGAUGAAAGCGGGGGAUCGCAAGACCUCGCGCGAUUGGACCGGCCGAUAUCAGAUUAGGUAGUUGGUGGGGUAAAGGCUCACCAAGCCAACGAUCUGUAGCUGGUCUGAGAGGACGACCAGCAACACUGGAACUGAGACACGGUCCAGACUCCUACGGGAGGCAGCAGUGGGGAAUUUUGGACAAUGGACGCAAGUCUGAUCCAGCCAUUCCGCGUGCAGGAUGAAGGCCCUCGGGUUGUAAACUGCUUUUGUACGGAACGAAAAGGUCUCUCUUAAUACGGGGGACUCAUGAUGGUACCGUAAGAAUAAGCACCGGCUAACUACGUGCCAGCAGCCGCAGUAACAC
rnacentral:rRNA from 1 species